CUUAGAGUUUGAUCCUGGCUCAGGAUGAACGCUGGCGGCGUGCCUAAUACAUGCAAGUCGAACGAAUCUCUUUUAGAGAUGAGUGGCGAACGGGUGAGUAAUACAUAGGUAACCUGCCCCUGUGCGGGGGAUAACAGGAGGAAACUCCUGCUAAUACCGCAUAGCCAUGAGCACCGCAUGGAGCUCAUGCCAAAUAUCCUUUAUGGGAUAGCGCAGGGAUGGACCUAUGGCGCAUUAGCUGGUUGGCGGGGCAACGGCCCACCAAGGCAACGAUGCGUAGCCGGCCUGAGAGGGCGGACGGCCACAUUGGGACUGAGACACGGCCCAGACUCCUACGGGAGGCAGCAGUAGGGAAUUUUCGGCAAUGGGGGAAACCCUGACCGAGCAACGCCGCGUGAGCGAAGAAGGCCUUCGGGUCGUAAAGCUCUGUUGUAAAGGAAGAACGGCGCAUACAGGAAAUGGUAUGCGAGUGACGGUACUUUACCAGAAAGCCACGGCUAACUACGUGCCAGCAGCCGCGGUAAUACGUAGGUGGCGAGCGUUAUCCGGAAUCAUUGGGCGUAAAGAGGGAGCAGGCGGCCGCAAGGGUCUGUGGUGAAAGACCGAAGCUAAACUUCGGUAAGCCAUGGAAACCGGGCGGCUAGAGUGCGGAAGAGGAUCGUGGAAUUCCAUGUGUAGCGGUGAAAUGCGUAGAUAUAUGGAGGAACACCAGUGGCGAAGGCGACGGUCUGGGCCGCAACUGACGCUCAUUCCCGAAAGCGUGGGGAGCAAAUAGGAUUAGAUACCCUAGUAGUCCACGCCGUAAACGAUGGUCACUAAGUGUCGGGGGUCAAACCCCGGUGCUGCAGUCAACGCAAUAAGUGACCCGCCUGAGUAGUACGUUCGCAAGAAUGAAACUCAAAGGAAUUGACG
rnacentral:rRNA from 1 species